rnacentral:rRNA from 1 species
CCUACGGGAGGCUGCAGUGGGGAAUAUUGGACAAUGGGCGAAAGCCUGAUCCAGCCAUGCCGCGUGUGUGAAGAAGGCCUUCGGGUUGUAAAGCACUUUCAGUGGGGAAGAAAGCCUUGGGGCUAAUACCCUCGAGGAAGGACAUCACCCACAGAAGAAGCACCGGCUAACUCCGUGCCAGCAGCCGCGGUAAUACGGAGGGUGCGAGCGUUAAUCGGAAUUACUGGGCGUAAAGCGCGCGUAGGCGGUCUGAUAAGCCGGUUGUGAAAGCCCCGGGCUCAACCUGGGAACGGCAUCCGGAACUGUCAGGCUAGAGUGCAGGAGAGGAAGGUAGAAUUCCCGGUGUAGCGGUGAAAUGCGUAGAGAUCGGGAGGAAUACCAGUGGCGAAGGCGGCCUUCUGGACUGACACUGACGCUGAGGUGCGAAAGCGUGGGUAGCAAACAGGAUUAGAUACCCUAGAGUC